UCGUGGUGUUAAUUGUCUGCUUUAUUGCGAUAACGAGCGAGAUUUGCGGGGUAAUAUCUAUUACCGAGCGCCGACGCUGAGUCGGACGAACGAGCAAGCACUAGCA
rnacentral:rRNA from 1 species